UUAUAAAUGGCAACACGAAUCCAAUAUAAAAACAUUGCCCAGUUUCGUAACGAAUCCGUAAUCUAUUGCCCUAGUGUGAAUAAAACAACGUCAGAAUGAAAAACUAAAUAAUUGUUAUAUUGUAUAGGUAAAAAGCUAGAAACUAAUAAUGGUACAUGAAAAAAUUUUAAGUUAUUCUGCUUUUUGUGGUAACGAAACAUAUGCUAUAACGCCAGAGAUGUUUUGACAGCUCGAUCGCUAAAAUCUUGUGGCAAUUAAUUCCACCGG